rnacentral:rRNA from 1 species
UACGGGGGGGGGCAAGCGUUGUUCGGAAUUACUGGGCUUAAAGGUUGCGUAGGCGGUCCGCUAAGUUGGAUGUGAAAACUCUGGGCUUAACCCAGAGCCUGCAUUCAAAACUGACGGGCUAGAGUUCUGGAGGGGGUAGCGGAAUUCCCGGUGUAGCGGUGAAAUGCGCAGAUAUCGGGAAGAACACCCGUGGCGAAGGCGGUUCUCUGGGACGGUACUGACGCUGAGACGCGAAAGCGUGGGGAGCGAACAGG